rnacentral:lncRNA from 10 species
UGUAAAUUUAGAAGUAGUCUUAGUCACCGAAGGACAGCAGAAAGGUGUGCUAAACAUAGAGGAAUCUGAUACAGAGGUGAUUAGAGGACUAUCAAUUUAGGCUUCUUUUUAAAAUGUCAGAUGGCACCAAGAGAGUUUCUGUUAUUCUACAAGUGUUCUACAGUUUAAUGUUUUCUACAACAGAAUGGCCUUGCAUACUACUCAAUGCCUUAUAACUGAUUCAUGGUCCACCUUUUUCCCAAUCUGUUAUCUCUGAUCCUUAAUAGAUAUGGUCCGUAUUGUUUGGUCACAGCUAUGAGGAGUAGUAAACCUUUUUUUUUUUUUUUUUUUUUUUUUUUUUUUUGUGAGAUGAAGUCUCACUCUGUCACCCAGGCUGGAGUGCAGUGGUGCAAUCGCGGCUCACUGAAACCUCCAGCCUCCGGAGUUUAAGCGAUUCUCCUGCCUCAGCCUCCUGAGUAGCUAGGAUUACAGGUGUGCCCAGGCCCAGCUAAUUUUUGUAAUUUUAGUAGAGACAGUGUUUCACUAUGUUGGCCAAGCUGGUCUUGAACUCCUGACCUCAUGUCCACCUGCCUCGGCCUCCUAAAGUGCUGAGAUUACAGGCAUGAGCCACUGCACCCAGCAGAAGAGUAGUAAAUUCUUUACCCUUUUUUUUUUUUUUUUUGACGGAGUUUUGCUCUUGUCACCCAGGCUGGAGUGCAAUGGCACCAACUUGGCUCACUGCAACUUCUGCCUCUCAGGUUCAAGCGAUUCUCCCGCCUCAGCUUCUCCUGUGGCCGGGAUUACAGGCGUGCACCACCAUGCCGGGCUAAUUUUUGUAUUUUUGGUAAAGAUGUGGUUUCACCAUGUUGGCCAGCCUGGUCUCAAACGCAAUUUACCUUCUAAAACAUUAUGUCUAUCAUCAUACCUCAAGGUAUUUAACGCUUGAACUAAACAUAAGGUUUAAAAAUUAAUAAUUGUAUCCUAAAAAAAACCAAACACCGC